rnacentral:rRNA from 1 species
UGGGGAAUAUUGCACAAUGGGGGAAACCCUGAUGCAGCGACGCCGCGUGAAGGAAGAAGUAUCUCGGUAUGUAAACUUCUAUCAGCAGGGAAGACAAUGACGGUACCUGACUAAGAAGCCCCGGNUAACUACGUGCC